rnacentral:rRNA from 1 species
UACGAAGGGGGGCUAGCGUUGCUCGGAAUCACUGGGCGUAAAGGGGUGCGUAGGCGGGUCUUUAAGUCAGGGGUGAAAUCCUGGAGCUCAACUCCAGAACUGCCUUUGAUACUGAGGAUCUUGAGUUCGGGAGAGGUGAGUGGAACUGCGAGUGUAGAGGUGAAAUUCGUAGAUAUUCGCAAGAACACCAGUGGCGAAGGCGGCUCACUGGCCCGAUACUGACGCUGAGGCACGAAAGCGUGGGGAGCAAACAGG